AUGAAAGACACCUGGAUCAUCCCCUUCCUGAUGGCAGUAACUACAGGGGUAAAUUCAGAGGUCCAGCUGCAGCAGUCUGGAGCUGAGCUGGCAAGGCCAGGGGCCUCAGUGAAAUUGUCCUGCAAGGCUUCUGGCUACACCUUUACAGAUUAUGAUAUAGACUGGGUGAAGCAGAGGCCUGGACAGGGCCUGGAAUGGAUUGGAGGUAUUGAUCCUGAGGAUGAUAGUACUGACUAUAAUCAGAAGUUUCAGGGCAAGGCCACUCUGACUGCAGACACAUCCUCCAACACGGCCUACAUGCAGCUGAGCAGCCUGACAUCUGAGGACUCUGCGGUCUAUUUCUGUGUGAGACACAGUGUUGCAACCACAUCCUGA